rnacentral:rRNA from 1 species
GACGAACGCUGGCGGCGUGCUUAACACAUGCAAGUCGAACGGAAAGGCCCUGCUUUUGUGGGGUGCUCGAGUGGCGAACGGGUGAGUAACACGUGAGUAACCUGCCCUUGACUUUGGGAUAACUUCAGGAAACUGGGGCUAAUACCGGAUAGGAGCUCCUGCUGCAUGGUGGGGGUUGGAAAGUUUCGGCGGUUGGGGAUGGACUCGCGGCUUAUCAGCUUGUUGGUGGGGUAGUGGCUUACCAAGGCUUUGACGGGUAGCCGGCCUGAGAGGGUGACCGGCCACAUUGGGCCUGAGAGAGGGCCCAGACUGCUACGGGAGGCAGCAGUGGGGAAUAUUGCACAAUGGGCGGAAGCCUGAUGCAGCAACGCCGCGUGCGGGAUGACGGCCUUCGGGUUGUAAACCGCUUGCGCCUGUGACGAAGCGGGAGUGACGGUAAUGGGUAAAGAAGCACCGGCUAACUACGUG